GAAUUGCUGAGGAGUCCCACAACAGGGCGAAACGGAUGUCCAGUUC
rnacentral:hammerhead_ribozyme from 1 species